rnacentral:lncRNA from 1 species
AGACAAUCCGCCUGGGCCCAGGCCGCUUCCCCGAGCAAACGCAAAUCGGAAAAGCCCGCCGAAAAGGCCAACGGAAGGUCCCCGGUGCCGCAAGGCCACACGGGAACGUCCGAAGGGCCCAGGCCGCUUCUCCGAAACAAACAAUUGAAGGGGAAAAGCGAGAGCGAAAGGCAAACGGGGAGCGAAAGCUAGAGGAAGGGGGAAAGCGACCAACGAUCAAGCAGAAAGCGAAAGAAGGUGGAUCUCGGCGGAGAGAAAGAAGGACGGACGACGGACGGACGACGGACGACGGACGGACGAGCAAAAGCAACGGACGACGGACGCGACGGACGACGGACGGACGAAAGGG